rnacentral:rRNA from 1 species
AUUCCAGCUCCAAUAGCGUAUAUUAAAGUUGUUGCAGUUAAAAAGCUCGUAGUUGGAUUUGUGGUGGGGCCGGUGGUCCAAAAUGUUUUGGUACCGUUGGGCGCUGCCAUCCUUGGGUGGAAGCUGUGGGGCAUUAGGUUGUUUUGCAGGGGAUGCCCAUCGUUUACUGUGAAAAAAUUAGAGUGUUCAAAGCAGGCUUAUGCCGUUGAAUAGAUUAGCAUGGAAUAAUGAGAUAGGACUUUGGUACUAUUUUGUUGGUUUGCGCACCAAAGUAAUGAUUAAUAGGGACAGUUGGGGGUAUUCGUAUUCCAUUGUCAGAGGUGAAAUUCUUGGAUUUUUGGAAGACGAACUACUGCGAAAGCAUUUACCAAGGAUGUU